GUUUGAUCCUGGCUCAGGACGAACGCUGGCGGCGUGCCUAAUACAUGCAAGUCGAACGCAUUUUCUUUCACCGUAGCUUGCUACACCGAAAGAAAAUGAGUGGCGAACGGGUGAGUAACACGUGGGUAACCUGCCUAAAAGAAGGGGAUAACACUUGGAAACAGGUGCUAAUACCGCAUAAUUUCAUUUACCGCAUGGUAGAUGGAUGAAAGGCGCUUUUGCGUCACUGAUGGAUGGACCCGCGGUGCAUUAGCUAGUUGGUGGGGUAAUGGCCUACCAAGGCUGCGAUGCAUAGCCGACCUGAGAGGGUGAUCGGCCACACUGGGACUGAGACACGGCCCAGACUCCUACGGGAGGCAGCAGUGGGGAAU
rnacentral:rRNA from 12 species